UACAGAGGGUGCAAGCGUUGUUCGGAAUUAUUGGGCGUAAAGGGCGCGUAGGCGGUUCGGCAAGUCUCUAGUGAAAUCUCUGGGCUCAACUCAGAGUCUGCUGGGGAAACUGCCGGGCUUGAGUGUGGGAGAGGAGAGUGGAAUUCCCGGUGUAGCGGUGAAAUGCGUAGAUAUCUGGAGGAACACCGGUGGCGAAGGCGGCAUCCUGGACCGGCAUUGACGCUGAGGCGCGAAAGCCAGGGGAGCAAACGGG
rnacentral:rRNA from 1 species